rnacentral:lncRNA from 1 species
UCGCUCCACUUUCGAGACAAGCAAUGAAAGAAACUCAUUUCCUCCGUUGCAAGACUCUUUCAAGUCCCCUACAGUCCCCAACACCUUCGACUACACCUUUUGGUUGCAUGUCGAUGAGAAGUCCUGCAUUAUCAAUCAUCAAAACACCGAUGCCAUCAAAGCCACUGUCAGCCAGAACUGGACCACCAUGAAAAUAUUAAGAAUAUAAACAAUAACUAUCUGACAAAUCCUUCGUGUUACUCACCGUUUUUUUUGAUGAGCACAUUCAAUUCUCUCCUCAAGAAUGAAAGAAAGAUCCUAACAGCUAGAGGAAAAAAAUAAUAAUAUGACGUUAUGACUCGUGAGCUUAGGAGUACUUUAGCUCUCUAAGUGCUACCUGGCUCACCUUAACUACAAAUAUAGCAAACAUGCAAAACGCUAGAUUUGUAUUUACUGGAAUUUGUAGGGUUAUUUAAAGAAUAAAGUCGAUUGAUUCAUCAAUUAUCGAGGGGAACUCCAUAUAGGCUGGUCUCUUAGGCUGGACUUGAAAUGGACCCAAUAAAAAGAAACCAAGGAUUUGGAUUUGUGAGCAAAGACAUGACAUGGAAAUUGGAUUUGCAGCAUAAAGACAUCGUCCCACCUUUACUAAUAAAACAUAUUCUCUCAUUUUUUUAAAUCCCGUACUUUUAUCAUCAGGUCUUUACAUUUUGUUUCAGUUCUUAAUCUAUAGAAUAAAGAUAUCUACAUAUUCUAAUAACAUAUAUAUUAAAUAUAAAGCUUAUUUUCAACGUUGUUAAGGGGAGAAAUGAAGACAUUAACUUUAUUGACCGUAAAAUUAAAUGAUUUUUCAUUACAUUAAUAACUAUUAAGUCUUAUUUAAUGAAACACAUAUAAAUUUAAUUAUAUAUACAAUGAUAUGUAUGUUGAAACGUUUGAUCCAUGGUACAUUGGUACGUAGUAGUGACUUUUUAAUUGUCCAAUUUUAAUGCAGAAAACAAAAUAUAUAUAGAAAAAACCCCAUUAAAUAGUGAAUCUCCCUUUUCGCAAUCUAUCUAUAUAAUUACGUUCAUAGAU